rnacentral:rRNA from 1 species
GACUCUCGACAAUAGAUAUCUCAGCUCUCGCAUUGAUGAAGAAUGUAGUGAAGUGCGAUACUUGGUGUGAAUUUUAGAAUAUCGUGAAUUAUCGAGUCUUUGAACGUAGGUUUUUCCCAAAGCCAUUAGACCGAGGGCACAUCUCUCUGGGCAUCU